rnacentral:rRNA from 1 species
UACAGAGGGUGCGAGCGUUAAUCGGAAUUACUGGGCGUAAAGAGCGCGUAGGCGGUCAUGUAAGUCAGGUGUGAAAGACCUUAGCUUAACUAAGGAACUGCAUUUGAUACUGCAUAACUAGAGUAUGGUAGAGGAAAGUGGAAUUUCCGGUGGAGCGGUGAAAUGCGCAGAUAUCAGGAGGAACACCCGUAGCGAAGGCGGCACUCUGGGCCGAUACUGACACUGAGGAGCGAAAGCGUGGGGGAGCGAACAGG